GCCUGGCUGGCUCAGUUGGUGGUAGAGCAUGCGACUCUUGAUCUCAGGGUUGUGAGUUGGAGCCCCACGGUGGGUA
rnacentral:tRNA from 1 species